AAGUCACCUAAACAAAACAAUGAAUGGAGCUAAAAGAAAACAUUCAAAGAAUUUCAAUGACUUCGACGAAAAAUUUGCUUCAAGAGGUUAUCAAGAACAAACAGCAUGAUUCAUCAACAGAAAACAAACAAAUAAAUGCCUGGACUACCAUUUGUAAUGAAUUAAACUCAAAUGAAAAAAAGUUUCUCAAAAGGACGCUACAACAACUUCAGGUCCUGUGGAAAAAUGUAAAAAUCAACUUAAAGAAGACAUGCUGUUGCUCUCAGGGAGCGUUUCAAGACUGGUAAGACCAGCGACCGAUGAGGUGAGAUACUUGCUGACCGGGAUCAUUAAUAGCCAACAACCCCUGGAAGGUAUCCCCGAUGAUGACCAUUUGGACAGUUAAGAUGAGGGACCGUUCCAAUCCUCAUUUGGUAGAACACAUUCAUUCAGCAUGUGCCUUCCCUGGACUGCAGGGAAUAUGUCAUGUUGUCAGUCAUCUCUUGCACUCCCAUAAUAAAAAUGAUGCAAUAAACUCAACUCUUGAAAUGUUCUCUAAUGCAGAAAUGUCAUCAUUUUCUCGAGGCAGAUUACCGUAGUUUGGAGGGAACUUGUUUUACGGGAUGGUCAGCUCGCUACAUCUGCAGCAGCCAGGAGGGAAGAUUGUGUCACUAAUCCGGUGCCGGAGGACAAAGACAAAGAGGCUGUGCAUGCAUGAGAAACUGCCCAUGGAAAUUCAUGAGCUCCAACUAAUGUAUUUAAAAGAGCACGUUAGGAAGAUACAAACCCUUCAUGUUGGGUCGGCUAUGAAGGAGGAGAGAAACAGGAAGCAGCAACAGUACCAAUGUUAUUCUUGAUUCAGCACCAGGUCGGGGUCCCGACAUUUCCAUUUGUGAAUUAAAUACCUUUUUGUUACCAA